rnacentral:rRNA from 1 species
AUUGAACGCUGGCGGCGUGCCUAACACAUGCAAGUCGAGCGGAAUUAUGGGGCUUGCCCUAUAUCUUAGCGGCGCACGGGUGAGUAACGCGUGGAUGAUCUACCUGUCAAUUCGGAACAACAGCGGGAAACUGCUGCUAAUACCGUAUACGAAAUAUUUUCACAUGUAUUUGAAAGGAGGCCUCUGCUUGCAAGCUUUCGUUGACAGAUGAGUCCGCGUCUCAUUAGGUAGUUGGUGGGGUAAUGGCCCACCAAGCCGAUGAUGAGUAGCCGGCCUGAGAGGGUGAACGGCCAGACUGGGACUGGAACACGGCCCAGACUCCUACGGGAGGCAGCAGUGGGGAAUAUUGCGCAAUGGGCGAAAGCCUGACGCAGCGACGCCGCGUGAGGGAUGAAGGUCUUCGGAUCGUAAACCUCUGUCAGAAGGAAAGAAUGGCUUGGGUGCUAAUCAGCCCAAGUUUGACGGUACCUUCAAAGGAAGCACCGGCUAACUCCGUGCCAGCCGCCGCAGUAA